CGGGCCGUAGCGCAGUUUGGCUAGCGCGCUUGGUUCGGGUCCAAGAAGUCGGGGGUUCAAAUCCCCCAGGCCCGA
rnacentral:tRNA from 1 species